CCCUUAGAUGUUCUGGGCCGCACGCGCGCUACACUGAUGCAUUCAACGAGCACCCGCUGGGCCGAGAGGUCCGGCUAAUCUUUGAACGUGCAUCGUGCUGGGGAUAGAUGAUUGCAAUUAUUCAUCUUCAACGAGGAAUGCCUAGUAAGCGCAAGUCAUCAGCUUGCGUUGAUUACGUCCCUGCCCUUUGUACACACCGCCCGUCGCUCCUACCGAUUGAAUGGUCCGGUGAAGCGUUCGGACCGUGGCCUUUGGACGGUUCGCCGUCUGUUGGCUGCGGGAAGUUCGUUAAACCUUAUCAUUUAGAGGAAGGAGAAGUCGUAACA
rnacentral:rRNA from 1 species